rnacentral:rRNA from 1 species
GACGAACGCUGGCGGCGUGCCUAAUACAUGCAAGUAGAACGCACAGUUUAUACCGUAGCUUGCUACACCAUAGACUGUGAGUUGCGAACGGGUGAGUAACGCGUAGGUAACCUGCCUGGUAGCGGGGGAUAACUAUUGGAAACGCUAGCUAAUACCGCAUAAUAUUGAUUAUUGACAGAUAAUUGAAUACAAAAUGCUAUUGAAAAAAUAACAAAUAAACCUGCGAUGUAUUCGCUAGUAGGUGAGGUAACGGCUCACCUAGGAGCCGCUACAUAGCCGACCUGAGAGGGUGAUCGGCCACACUGGGACUGAGACACGGCCCAGACUCCUACGGGAGGCAGCAGUAGGGAAUCUUCGGCAAUGGACGAAAGUCUGACCGAGCAACGCCGCGUGAGUGAAGAAGGUGUUCGGAUCGUAAAGCUCUGUUGUAAGAGAAGAACGGGUGUGAGAGUGGAAAGUUCACACUGUGACGGUAUCUUACCAGAAAGGGACGGCUAACUACGUG